CGGAACUCAAGAUGGCUGCGCUCUUGCUGAGACACAUCGGCCGCCAUUGCCUCCGAGCCCACCUUAGUUCUCAGCUCUGUAUCAGAAACUGGGGACCGAACCCAGGGCCUUGCGCUUCCUAGGUUCUGUUUUUCGGAGCUGGGGACCGAACCCAGGGCCUUGCGCUUCCUAGGCAAGCGCUCUACCACUGAGCUAAAUCCCCAACUCCCUGAGUGCUGCUCCUUUGGGAACCACAGCUAAGGAAGAAAUGGCACGGUUCUGGAAUAAGAACACGAGUUCCAACCGUCCUGUCUCUCCCCAUUUGACUAUCUACAGGUGGUCUCUUCCCAUGGCAAUGUCUGUUUGCCACCGAGGCUCUGGGAUAGCCAUGAGUGGAGGGGUCUCUCUUUUUGGCCUGUCGGCACUGCUGCUUCCUGGGAACUUUGAGUCGUAUCUGAUGCUUGUGAAGUCCCUGUGUUUGGGGCCAGCGCUGAUCCAUGCAGCCAAGUUCGUGCUUGUCUUUCCUCUCAUGUACCACUCAUUGAAUGGGGUCCGACACUUGAUGUGGGACCUAGGGAAAGGCCUGUCGAUUUCCCAGGUCCAGUUGUCUGGAGUGACGGUCUUGGUUCUUGCAGUGCUGUCCUCUGCAGGACUGGCAGCCAUAUGAAGAGCUGGGAUUCCCACAUCCGUCCUGUGCAUCAUCACACUGAUCUCUAUUCCUGUUUGUCACUCCUCCCUCCAGCCACCAAGGUUCUCCUGAUUUGUUUAGAUGUCAUGUGCUUCCGAUCCCCUGGGGGCACAGUAGAGAAGCUUACAGAACUGUAAUAGUAGAAAGAAUCCUUUUCCCUAGGCCUAGGAGCCCUCAUUCCUCUCCACUUUUGACUCUGAUUUGUGCUGAGGGUCAGCUUUGUGCUGCUUCUUGCUGAGACAGUGGAAACAAUGCCAGUUCUGUGGCUGCCCUGAGUGCCACUGCCUGUGGGCUGCAGGCUUAAAGGACACUUCUGUUCAUUGGUCAGCUCAGGGCCUUUAGCACCCACACAGCGUGACUGAGAGAAGAGAAAUGGAGGUGGAGGGGAUCAUCCUGCCCAGCUAGAGGGAGAUAAAGAGCAGCGUGGAUCUUGGGAGCUCAUGCUUGGGGGAAAGACAGACAGCUUUCCAUGUAUGAGGAAGAUCAAAAAAAAAUUGUAUUAAGAUUGUUUCAUUUUUCAUUUCUAGGAACAUACACCUUUAAUGUCAUUUUUUCUAAUCUAAAUUCAUGUACCAUCUUUCUUUGGAAAUGAUUAAAGUACUACUCAUUUUAUGUU
rnacentral:lncRNA from 1 species